UACGUAGGCAGCGAGCGUUGUUCGGAAUUACUGGGCGUAAAGAGUGUGUAGGCGGUGUUCCCAGUCUGUUGUGAAAUCUCCCGGCUUAACUGGGAGGGUGCAGCGGAAACUAGAAUGCUAGAGGGUGGGAGAGGUAAGCGGAAUUCCUGGUGUAGCGGUGAAAUGCGUAGAUAUCAGGAGGAACACCGAUGGCGAAGGCAGGUCUCUGGGCUGACACUGACGCUCAUGCACGAAAGCGUGGGGAGCAAACAGG
rnacentral:rRNA from 1 species